ensembl:lncRNA
AAAAAAAAGGGAUGGUGUGCUACAGCUCCAUUUUUUCCCCUGCAUCUCUAAUUAUGGCUAUUGAUGAAAGACAUAGUGUGUAUGUGUAAUUACUAAUCUUUUUCCUACACAACUGUGGCCAACAGUGUGGGAAUCCUGAGAAACAUAAGCCAUACGCUGGACUGAUUCAUUUUAUCAUGCUAUUGUGAUUUAUUCACGUCCAGGACUUAAUUCAUUUAAUUUUCAUUGUAGUCCCUUUUUAUUUUCAGGAAACCAGAUGGAGCAAGAGAAAGAAUUUUAUUUUGUAUGAGGAAGAGCCAAAACCUCCACUACGGUCACGUUUCGUGACGCAACGGAGAUAAGGCCCAUUUAAUCUACAAAAAUGUUCAACCUUUUUCUCUCUCGAAAACCUGAACGUGCUGAUGUUAACUAUAAAAAGGAGAAUUCAGAAUACCUGUGCAACUGUCAAUGAUUACAGAGGCGUGGAAUGAGAAACCAGAGAAAGAAAAAGAAGAAACAGAGCUCGGAGAGAAAGCGGCAUUACCGUCGGACCUACCCAAAAGCAUCCUACACCCUACCGCCAGAUCAAGAGGAGAGUUACACAAUCAUUCCCAAAACCUGGUCUUCCCUCACGGCAGCUCUUUAAGAGAUAUGGGCCUCAGCUUUUGGGAAUAUCUCCCCAACACCUGGACAGUGAGAUUAAGUCCCAUGAAUGGACACACGAACAGAUGAGAAUAUUAACACAACAGCUGCAUAAAGCUCUUGAUCAAAUGACUUUCUGCCUACACUUUGUUGAACAAGCUAGAGAUAUGUUAUAUGAUAAAAGGAGAGGAAGAAACAUACACUUUGUAUAUGGAAAUACCAUUCAGGCUCUGAAUGACAUGACUGCUGAAUAAGUGACCUAGCUCUUAUACCCAUAGUAGGAGACUACUUCCUGUUUUAACAGCCAACUGAUGAGUGUAUAUAUAGCGGAAUGAAAGUUGUGAGUUUUUGCCAAGAACUUGCAAGGUGAAAAUUUGUGCCUCAGUUUUGCUCUUCUGCCACUCAAGCCCUAUUGGGCUGUAAACAUGACGUCAUGCCUGUCCGUCUGUCUUUACGUGUGCUUAACAUAUGCAUUUAUCAUCCUUGUGAUGAAACCCAACUAUCAUCCUUGUGAUGAGACGCUCAUGUUUUUAUGUCUUCAUGUUCGACUAACUUGUGUAUUUAUUAUCUUAGCGAUUAGUGAUAUUUUUGAUGAGCGUUAAUUAUAGGAUGCUUCUGAAAAAGUGUCUAUAUAUUCCUGUAUCCUAUAAACUUAUGUAAACAUAUUGUAGGGAUUUUAGCCAGCGAAUUGGUGGAAAUCUUCCGCACGGUGCACCGUUCGCAAGCCGUGGGUGUGUCAGCGGCCCCGCCCUGCCGCCACGUGCUCUCUGUCCGUCCAAAACAUUCGGUGGCGCUGAAGCGGAACUGUCUCUUCUGCGCCACUGCGGCAAUCGCGGGAGGAGCAAUCUUAGUUUCCUGUGCGACGGCUACUGGCCUGUCGCCACAGAACCCCCCCCCGCAGCUCCGAGCCUACUGUCGCCGCGUGUCAGGCCCACAUGGUGUCCCGUCUUGAGAGGCCAUCUGCAUUUCCGUGUUGGGUCCCUGCCUGGCGCUGGACCUGGAAUGAGAAAUCUUAUAGGGAGAGGAACCACCGAGUCACCGGCCGUUAGUGUCCUUGGCCUUGGCCAUCCACUGGAGUGGGGUGUGGUCUGUCACCAGGAUGAAGUUCUGCCCAGCCAGGUAGUACCGUAGUUCCUCGAUGGCCCACUUUAUUGCUAGGGCUUCCCUCUCCAUGGCCGCAUACUUCCUCUCUGCUGGGGACAACUUUCGGCUAAUGCAGAGGACCAGGUGCUCCUUCCCAUCAAAGGUCUGUGAGAGGACCGCGCCCAGCCCGGUUUCAGAUGCAUCUGUGUUCACGGUAAAUGGGAGGGCGAAGUCCGGGUUACGUAGUAUAGGGGUGCUGGUGAGGGCUUCCUUCAGGUUCUGGAAUGCCCGCUCUGCGUCUGUAGACCAUUUCACCUGGUCCGGCUGGCCCUUCUUUGUGAGAUCUGAAAGGGGGGAGGCUAGAGAGGAGAAGUUAGGUACUGUGCCUCGCUCAGCCCCAGGUGACACUUUUUGGGGUUGGCUGUCAGCCCGGCCUUCCGGAGCUCCUUCAGGACUUCCCCCAGGUGGAACAGGUGGUCUGACCAGGUGGA